rnacentral:lncRNA from 1 species
UGACGUAUGUGUGUGUUUUCCCAAGGUGUACCUGACAUUUUAUGAUAUAGAUGUGUGCAUGCUAGGAUUAAUUCUUCUUCUACUCCUUCUACACUCUGUUUGAUUGUUUGCCUUAAUUGAUCACUGAUUUGGAUCCAUUAGAUUUGGGACUUACAAUUGGUAUCAGAGCCUUUUUGGUAUCAAUUGAAGUUAUUUUUUAGAAUGCAAAAUUUUAUUAUUUUUAAGAAUUUUGAUUGAAGAAUUGUUGAAGUAUUUUUUUUAAGAAUUUUGAUUGAAGAACUGUUGAAGGUUUGCUGCUGACUUUGAAGGUUUGCUGUUAAAGUGAGUGUGUGGUGGAGCGUGUCUAAUUAAGUGUGUGUUGGUAUUGUGUUUGUUGCUGACUGAGUGUGUGCUAUUACUGUAUUUGCUGGAAUUUUCUUGUUUGCUGCCAAGAGUGUGUGUGCGGUUAAAGUGACUGACGGUUAAGGUGUUAUAAUUGUGUGCAGUUAAAGCUGGUGUUGUUGAGUUCCGUGUACAGUUACAUUGGUGUGUGCUGUUCAAUUUAGUGUGCGGUCAGAUUGGUGUGUGCAGUUCAAUCUAGUGUGCGGUCACAUUGGUGUGUGCGGUUCAAUUUAGUGUGCGGUCAGAUUGGUGUGUGCGGUUCAAUCUAGUGUGUGGUCACAUUGGUGUGUGCGGUUCAAAUCGGUGUGCGGCUGGAUUAGUGUGUGCAGUUAAGGAGUGUGUUUAAGAGUAUUAGUGUGUGGUUUGAAAUUACUCAAAUGGAAUCUCAAAACAUGACUGCUCAUCAAGAUUUGGAUGCAAUUAUGGGAACAACUACUCGUAUUCCUAGAUUGCUAUCAGCUGAAGGAUUUCCUGAAUGGAAAUAUAGAAUUGAAAAAUACAUCAAAAUGAAGGAUUUCAAAAUUUGGAGAAGCAUUUUAAGAGGACCAAUUCGGAUUACUUCUACUUUAGAAGAUGGAACGAUAAUUGACAAACAGAUUGAAAACUACACUGAUGAUGAUUUUGAACGAGUUGAAGAACAAGAAAAGGCUCUUGCCACACUGACUAUGGCGUUGUCUCCUGAAAUUGCACAAGGAUUUCGUGAGUAUACAUCAGCAAAAGCAUUGUGGGAAGCACUGAUAGAAGUUUAUGAAGGAGAUGAAGACAUGAAGCAAAGUCGACAAGACAUGCUCCGACAAAAAUUCAACAUGUUCAACAUUGUAUUGGGAGAAACAUUGGAAAAUCAAUUGCAAAGAUUUAUCACACUAACCACUGAAAUGAGCUCCGCAGGUGUGAUGGUUACCAGAUCUGAAAUCAACAAGAAGUUACUAAAUUCUCUUCCAAAAUCAUGGGACAUGAAUGUCUCGGUGAUUAAAAAGACAAAAGACCUAAAUCGUUUAAGCUUGUCUGAAACAAUGGCAAUCAUCAAAGCUUGCGAUCUUGAUGAUAAACAAAGAGAAAUCAAUCAUGUCAAUUCGUACUCUACAGCCAAUCUUGGACUUCAAAAUAACAACACCGCUUUUUCAAGCUUCACCACCCUUCAAAAUACUCAAUUCCAAAUUCCUCAAGUUCAACCUCAUACAGUCCAUCAAAACAUACCAUACAUCAUACCUAACAUGCAACAAACUCAAAUCCCUCAAACAAUAUCUCAAGUUGGAUCUAGUGUUUUUCCCUCCACAGAUGUUUCAGUUCAAUCUCAUGGAAUUGGUUCCCAAAGUUCAGUUACAAAAGAAAAGGAGGAAAAUAUGGCUUUAGCUACUGGGUUGGUGAACUACUACAAUACCUUUGUUGCUGGAGAACUCUCUCCAUAACUAUCAUUCACUGAUCUUGAUCAAAUCCAUCCUGAAGAUGUGGAAGAAAUGGAUAUUACUUGGCAAAUGGCAAUGGCAGUAUUCAGGGCUAAACAAUUCUCAAAAAAGACUGGAAAGAAUAAUUAGGGUGUAAAUUCAGAUAAAAAGAUGGGUUUUAGCAAAGGAAAGUUACGUUGUUAUAAUUGUCAUGAACCAGGACACUUUGCAAGGGAAUGUCCAAAACCAAAUCAGCGAGAAAAUUACGAAAGAACCAUGGUGCCAGUAACUUACGUUUACAGCAACAACAGAGGGUCAUCUUCAAACAAUCAGUCUGCAAACAUGGCAAUGGUAGCUCAAUCGUUCAACUGGGAAGAUCAAGUUCAGGCCCUAAACAUUUCAGAACCUGAAAAGGCAAAUCUUGCUCAAGUCAAGGAUGAAAGUAAAGAAAUGGAAGCAGAUCCAGAGGAGGAGAUGAUGAAUUUGCAGUUUGCAUUCAUGGUUCAGACCACUCCUGAACCAGUCAAAUCUGAGGUUAGUGAAUUCGGUUGUUCUCAAUCUUCUAUUAAAACUGUUAAGUUUUUGAGAGAUCAAAUUGAGAUAAUCAAAAGAGAGAACGAGGACUUGAAAUAUGAGGGAUAUACUCUUAGAAAAAAUCAAAAGCCCAUAAAAACUCAAUUAGAAAAUAAAACAAAAGAUUUUAAAAAAUUGCAAGAGGAUUACAGCAACAAAUGCGAGAACUAUGAUCAUCUCAAAAGAAAGCUUGCUGCUGUAACCUUGGAACUUGACACAUUGAAAAAUCGUUUUGAAAAAGCUGAAUUUAAUUUCAAAAAGUACGAUGGGUCAAGUGAAAUGAUUGCAAAAUUAAUUGAAGAUCAAUCACAUUGGAGAGAUAUCACUCAUGGAAAUCAAAUAAAAGUCGGAUUAGCUUUUGAGAGUGUCCCUCCUCCUUUUAAUCACAAUUACACUGCUAUUCCUCUGUCUCAAGAACAAUUGACAGAGAACCUCGCAUGGUGUACGGAAAGUCAGCUUCUGAGCAGAAAAUACAGUCUAGUUAUGAGACUUUGCAUACUAACGUUUUUACUUCAAGUGCAGAUAUAUCAAUAGUUCAGGGGGAGCAUGCUGCUGAAACUUUUGAGUCACAUAAUGUUGUGGUUGAGUCUGGUGUUAAUUACAAUAAUGAGUCUGUGUCAAAAUCAAACACAAACGUUUUUGUCUCGAGUGGUAUUUUAUUUCAGUCUGACAAUGUUCUUUCUAAUAAUGUGGUUUCUGAUCAAACUGCUAAACCUGAUCUACAUGUCUCUACUUCUAACACAUAUGUUACUAAAUUCUAUGAUGAAUCUUGCAAGUGUAAAUGUGUUAAAAAUGAAAAAGCAAAGAAUAACAUUGUCAAAAGUAGUGUCAAAGUUACUGAUAACAAACAAAUCUGUUUUAACUGUGGCACUGCUGGACACAUUGCAAGAAAUUGUAUGAACCGGAUGUUUGUAUCUCAUACAACAAAAAGGAGGGAGAAUGAAUUUCGGGGACGAUCUUUGACUAGAAAAAUUCCCAAAAUUCAUUCUAGAAAUGGAGAUGUGAAUACAACAUUAAACAAAAAAUUCGAAAGAUUUCAAAAGAAUAAACAGGUUUUUCACAAAAAUAACAGAAGUUUGCCAAAAUCAACUCAGGCCAAGCCUAAGUCGAAUUUGUCAAAGAGCAGGAAAGGAUCUUCUAACUCUUCAAGUAGGAAAUCCACCGGUUCAAAGCAAACUAACAAAUUUUUGAAACCUAACUUUCAAUGGAUUCCAAAAACAUUUUCAGAUCAAUCUCCAUUACUCUCCAAUUCAAAUCAAAUGAAAAACUUGUAAAAGGAAAGAGUCAACCCAGGAUUGUGAUGACCUGGGUUCCCAAAACUAAAUAAUUCCAUUCAUCAUGCAAGGACAGUUGCGGAGGAAUGUCGUCAGACCUUGGUAUAUCGACAGCGGCUGCUCCCGGCACAUGCCUGGAGAUAUAUCCCAAUUGCACAACAUUCAAACUUUUAAUGGGGGAUAUGUUUCUUUUGCGGGCGGAGAGGGUGGAAAAAUUACUCAAAAAGGAAUAGUGUCCAAUGGAGUGUUGAAUUUUGAGAACGUCAUCUAUGCUCCCGAGUUAAAGUAUAGCUUGUUGAGUGUCUCACAGAUCAGCUUAUAGACUACAGAUAAUGAUAUACGGUUAUGCAGUGAAGACCUCGAUGCAAUAGUAUUUACAGAGUGUUCCAUCGAGUUGUUCCUGACGUUUUUGUGAUAUAAACGUGUGCAAGCUCGAUUUCUUUUCAUCUUCUUAUUCUAUUACUGCUUGAUCAUUAACAAAAGGAGUUAGUGGUGUUCUCAAAGUGAAGUCUCCAACUUUUGAUCAGAUGGCCAACACCUUUCAACCGAUAUGGAUACAACUUCAAGGAUUCCUCCCCUUCCAUUUGCUAUUCCAACUUUAUUGCCAUUUGAUGAGUGAUUAGAUACUGACACAAACCUCCCAGCCUCCUAUGAAAACAAGAUGAGUUGAUCAGAGGCAGGUAGAUCUUAUCCAAGAACAAGCACCACCAGUCUAACAACCCUCCAAAGCUGCUACACCAACUCAACCAACCCUAAAAGGACCAAGUAAUGUUAGAUCUUUGUUUAAAGUCGGGAGUUCUUCUGCUCCUGGGGGUUCUUCUCCNUCCACAACCUGCGCAUGAUGUUGCCUCUUUGAGGCUUGCCAGGUUUCUUGCUCAACAAGAUUCAGAUCAUUUACCUCAUGGCAAAUAAAUAUCAAUAGGUGAAGGAAGUUCAAGCGGAGCAGGCCCAUCUAUCUCAGAGCUCAAGGAGUAGAUCACUGAUGAAGAAGACCUGAGUCCAUGCUAGCUCAAACCAAGGGGGAGAUUGUUAGGUCAUAGUUUUGUGGUUUGAGGUAGGCAUUCAUCUUGUAUAGGUCUUGGUAGGGUCUUGGGGUUUGUUAUGUUGGUUGUAGUAUGUUAGUGAGUGUGUGCGGCUAUACACGUGUGUGCGGCUGCACACUCUGUGUGCGGCCAUACACGUGUGUGCGGCUGCACACUCUGUGUGCGGCCAUACACAUGUGUGCGGCUGUACACACGUAUGCGGCUGGGGGUCCUAUAAAUAGAGUGUGUUUGUGUCAGUUGUAAAGGGACGUCAGUGACGUAUGUGUGUGUUUUCCCAAGGUGUACCUGACAUUUUAUGAUAUAGAUGUGUGCAUGCUUGGAUUAAGAUCGGAANGAUUGUUUGCCUUAAUUGAUCACUGAUUUGGAUCCAUUAGAUUUGGGACUUACAACUUGGUUGCGUGAUGAAUGCGAAAUUUCAUAUUUGGAAGUUAGACUAAUUCGUUAACAAAGUGUCAAGUGAAGGACUAGGAAAUCGAGUACACAAGGUUGUGUGUUGAUGAAGUCCACCACAAGAGUAACAAAGAUAUUCGUCAUGAUUCAGUUAGGUUUAGUAAAUAUGAUUAUACUUACAAGAUUAAGUGUAAUUCUGAGUUGAUUGAAAGAGUUUCAAUAAAUAGCAGAACGAAUAAAGAAGAAUCAAGUAGGCAGAAAGAUAAAAGUUUCUCUAUUCUAAGAAGAAGGGAGAGUACCUUUUAUUAUG